CACGUAGGGCGCGAGCGUUGUCCGGAAUUAUUGGGCGUAAAGAGCUCGUAGGCGGCCUGUCGCGUCCGCUGUGAAAGCCCGGGGCUUAACCCCGGGUCGGCAGUGGAUACGGGCAGGCUAGAGGUAGGUAGGGGAGAAUGGAAUUCCCGGUGUAGCGGUGAAAUGCGCAGAUAUCGGGAGGAACAUCUGUGGCGAAGGCGGCCAUCUGGACCAGCACUGACACUGAGGCACGAAAGCGUGGGGAGCAAACAGG
rnacentral:rRNA from 1 species